rnacentral:lncRNA from 1 species
UUAUUGUCUACUACACGUCCACUCCUUAGGGUAGUCAAAGCAUUGGCUUGUUCAUGAUGAAUUGCAUUUAAUUGAUUUUCUUGAGCCAUGUAUUGUCCCCUAGGAUUACUUAGUGGUUGGCUUGGAAGCUUUUCUUCCUCUCGCUUGUUUAGUGCAUUAGCUAGUUGCCCCAUUUGGGAUUCUAGCUUGGCGAUGGAUUGCGUGUGAGAGUGCACCAAUUG